rnacentral:tRNA from 1 species
UCCUGUAGUUCAAACAGUAAAGAAUCUGCCUGAAAUGCAGGAAGCCCGGGUUUGAUCCCUGGUUCAGGAA